UACGGAGGGUCCAAGCGUUAUCCGGAAUCAUUGGGUUUAAAGGGUGCGCAGGCGGUAAAGUAAGUCAGUGGUGAAAUCCCUUCGCUCAACGAAGGAACUGCCAUUGAUACUGCUAUACUUGAAUAUAGUUGAAGUAGGCGGAAUGUGUAGUGUAGCGGUGAAAUGCUUAGAUAUUACACAGAACACCGAUAGCGAAGGCAGCUUACUAAACUAAUAUUGACGCUCAUGCACGAAAGCGUGGGGAGCGAACAGGAUUAGAAACCCGAGUAGU
rnacentral:rRNA from 1 species